UCUUCACCUCAAACAACAUUGAUGAUAGACACUACAUGAUCCUUAUAAUUCUUUCUCGACUUCAAAGAUCAGCUUGUGAAGCUUCUCCGAACAAUGCGACCGAACUGUAUUCGCGGACAUGUUCUUUCAGUGGGCUACUGGAGCUGCUGAGAAGUUCAGUGUACCAAGACUUCUGUUCCACGGCACUAGCUACUUCUCUCUAUGCUCUGAUUGUUCAUCAGAGUGCAUAAACCAAAAAAAAAGAGAGUUAGAGAAUAUUAUUAUAGAUGUUUUAAAAUGAAAGUGAAUUUUUUUAUAAAAAUGAUUUUAACAACAGUUUUACUUUUACAUCUCUCUGUUCUUAAUUUAUAAAAUUAUAACUAUUUUUAAAUAAUAUUUUAAUAUUUUAUUUUUAUCAUUUUCGAUUUUAAAAAAUCAAGUAGCUUAAAUUUAUCAUAAACUUAUAUUUAUCUUCAACAAGAAUAUAUAUUUAUCUCAUAGUAAUAUUAAUACUUAUUAUAUUUUCGAAUUUUACUUUAUGUAUUUGUAAAAUAUUUAAACAUAGGGUAAAAUUAUCUUAUCAUAUACUACAAGAUAAGAUAAUCUCAAAAAACGAAAAAAAAAUAUUUUCAAAUUUAAAAUAGUAAAUAUGAUAUAUUCGUAAUUAUCCGUAUGAUGCCGACUAUAUGAAUACAGUCCAGAUGGUAUUAGUGUAUUUAAACCUAGGAUGACGAAGUGUUUGUUAUAAAUAGACCAAUCAUCCAAACCUUACGUAACCAAAUCAAUCAUGUAUAUUUACAUAAAUCCGGAUGUGGAACCAGAACUGGAAACAAUAUGUCUGUUUCUUAAGGAUGCAACAAUGAGUUUAUAUCAAAACUUGUUAAAUCUUUCCAGCUUUAUCUACAAAUCAUUGCCUACUUUUGCUCCGACUCCAACCACCACCGCCGCCGCUGUGAUCUAGCGAACCAUACCUCUCACCGGUGUGAAAAAAAGGCGUUUGUUCCUUUUUUUUUUUUUUUUUUGUUCUUUUUAAUUGACUUAUUGUUGCUUUUAGAUUUAAUUAUUUAAUAAAGCGGUAGUUUCAAUAAACUAUUCUUAGUUUAAGUUCUUGGCAAACAUCGAAUGGUAUGAUAUUUGAUCAUGGUUUUGAUUUAAAGUUGCAAAGUUUUUGUUCGUCUCCCUCAUAUAGACUGUUUUGUUGAGCAGCUCUAUUAUGUUUCAAAUCCAAACCCUUGGCUUUUUUAAUUACUAAUUUUCAGUACCCAGACCUUGUUUUGCCAUUUGUUACUAGUCUUGAAUGUCUUGUUAUUUCAUUAUUGAUUAAGGCUAAACUCAAUCUGAUUACAAAGGGUAGAGCUCGUGGAUCUUUCUAACAAAAAGAAAGUUUCAGAGAUCGAACGCAAUUUUUUAUUGUGGUAUUGUCCCUAACUAUCCAAGUUAUUUUGAUAUGCCGAUUAUAUGAAUAGGUAUAGUUCGGAUAUGAUUGGAGUGAUUACUACACCAAAAUAGAAUCAGGAUAACAAAACAGUUUUGUUAUAAAUAGACAAGUCUACAACAACUAUUAAUUAUAUUCAGAGGUUCGCCAUCAUGGUUCUUCUUCAUAUUCUCCUCAUGUACCAACAUCAAAUAUCGGUACGGAUGGUUAUACACUCAAACAAUACAGCACCGCUCCCAUGUCAUCCCAUGUUGGUCCGUGAUAACGGGAGUAGCUCCACAUGGCGAGAAGCCUCUAAGAUAAAAGUGGCUAGGGAAGAAUCCCGUUGCGUGCAAUUGUUGAUGGGAAGAUAUACGUGAUGGGAGGUUGCAAGGCAGAUGAAACCAAGAAUUGGGCCGAGGUGUUCGACCCAAAUACGCAAACGUGGGAAUCUUUACAUGACCCUGGCCCUAGUCUCCAAAGUUCUUUCCACCAUCUACAAACAACCCAGAAGCUUGGUCGUCUGUACCAGAACCAGAUGCUUUGUGUCGCAACUCCCUAUUAUGAAGUGCCGACCUGACUUCCUCCAAACUCAUUGUAUCUUUAAUCCUUAUGACUGACUGAACAAAGUUCUCAUAGGAGUUUGGUUUUGAUACCAACAAAAUCAGUGUCGCAUCCUCAUCCUCCAUCAGAUCCAACAAGAUGAAAUUUAGACUGUCAAGAUGAUCUUGGAGUUGUGUUGCAUCCUCAGAGCGAAAAGACGUUGUUUCAGAAGUAACUUCUUAGUCAGAGACUUCGUCAUGUAUAUUCUCUAACUUCAACCACAAAUCAGCUGCAUCAUCAACACCAGAAACUUCGAUGAUGAUUUCAUCUGCCAGACACAACAAAACUGUUUAAUACACCUUCUUACACCUUCUCUUCAGUAACCUCCAUCGCAGCAGUAGCAUGUUCAACUUUUUUUCCUGACAACUGUGCCCAAAGACCUUGCUUCAGCAAGGCCUUCAUCUUGAUUUGUCAGAGACUGAAACUGUUCCUUCCAGUAAACUUGUCGAUCUUCAUAUUCAACUUAGACAUCUUCUCACCAGAUUCAAUCCGAAACUCUGAUACCAGUUUGUUGUGACAAAUGUGAGAAGAUGGAGAUUAACAGAUGAAUAAACAAUAAAGAAAAAUUUAACGUGGUUCACCCCUAACAGCUACGUCCACGGGAAAAUAAAAAUUUAUUGAUGGAUGAAUUACAGAGAUCUUGUCCACAAGAAAAUCAGAUCUGAUUUUUCUACGGCUGCUUACUAGGUUUAGAAAAGGCAGAAGAUAUAUAUAAUUGUAUCCCAUAAAACCCUAGAACUAGUGGGUCUCAAAAGAAUAAGACCCAACAGAUUCAAAAUAUUAUUCAACAGAUAUGAGAAGCGCUUGAAACUGAAUUCAACACAUCCCUAAGAAAGAUAUGGACAUAAAGGUCAAAGACUCUUUAUUGAGAUGAAAAAAAAACAAGAUAACAACAAAACUUGAUUUUUUCUGUCCUUACCAGAUUAAUGUUGAUCAGAUACUCUGUAUCAUCAAUGUGCUCUUUCAGCUGCAAACACAAAAUCAUAAUCAAAAUGAUGAAAACAAAAAGAAGAACAUGUUUUUGGACAGCAAGUAAAACGCUUUGUUCUUUAAGACUUUAACUAGUGCCAAGACCAACGUACAAUAUAUCAAGCCACGUGUUAAAAAAAGUCAAACCUAUUCGAAGGAGCACAGUUUCUAAAAUAGACCAUGCCACAGGAGAUCAGCUUCUAAAGUGGUAACAAACUAACAAAAAAAAAACAGAUAAGAGAAGCCGACAUGGCGCCAAACGCAGCCAAUGGGUUAGUUAAGAGUUCCGAACAUUACGACACACCUUUCGUUCUGUUAUCCCCCUAAACAGACAAGGAACAGAACCAAACCCUAGAUCCCCCUUUUCUUCAUCUUAGUUUUGUCUAAGAAAAAUUCACAACUUAUCCAAGUGUGAAGAUGAAUCAUCACUGAAUCAAGAUCGUUUUAAACUAAAAUCACGGUCUAGGUUCGGUCUGAUCAAAUCAUCUUCCAGGUUUGUUAUGGGGUCAGAACAUGAUCACGAUGAAAACAAACAAGUUUCAGAAGAACCUUUAUUAGAAGAUGAAAACCGAGAUGGUGAGCAUAAAAAGAUCCUUUCAGAAGAUAUUGUAAUCAUCCACUCAGAAACACAUUCAAGAUCCUCCUCCUCAUCAUCUUCAUCUUCUUCGUAUUCAUCACCACCAAAACAUCUACCAGAGACAGAUUCACCUCCUGUUCAAGUAAUGGACAGGGAUGAUAAUAGCAACUAUGACCCUGGCAGGAUCCCAUCUUCGGUUUUCGAGACAAGCAAAUCGAAUUUGCAAGCUGAUUGGAGCUGCGCUUCGAAUGAAUCUCUCUUUAGUAUUCAUAUAGGGAGAAACAGUUUCACUGUUGAUGCCAUGAAAUCAGGUGAGCUCUACAAAUCAGGAGAGUUGCUAGCUUAUAGUCCUGAGCUUCCUAUGCCGCCACCACCAGGAAAAGAAUCAGACCCUUUAGUCGAGUCAUCGGCGAAAGUUGUUGAUUCAGAUGAUGAUGAGAAAGAACAGCCUCCCGCUGUUUCUUGGAAAACUCCUACAAAGUCUUACCGUUCUAACCGGAGCUCAAACAGCACGCAUUCCUUCUCUUUCCCCAUUUUAGCAGGAGCUGCAAGUGAUUCAGCAAGUGUAGAAACAGGGGAAAAGAAGAAACAAGAAAAGCAAUCAGAAGAGACAACAAAACAACCAGCAGAAGUAGAAAACCAAAAGAAUUCAACAAUGUGUGGUUGGUUCUCAUGGUUUCCUUCAUGUCCUUCGUGUUGUUCUUUACGUUCUCCAUGUUCUUGAAUUCGUUUUUUUGCUUUGUGUGUGUGUUUACGGAUUAGUUGUGACCCUCUUAACCGGUUGAGUAAACCAGUUAAAUGGAAAUCAUGUUAAGUCAUGUGUUAACAUAAGUAAGUUAGGUUAACUAUUAAUGAAUCAAAUGGUUUAGGUUGUUGUAAGAGAGCAAGGUGGACUCUCGCAGGUCUAUUGAAAAGUGUUAAUUAAUAUGCCAAGAGCUUGGAAACUUUGUGUGGUUAUGUGAGGUUGGUUCCAUAAAGCAUAACUCUAGUUUCUAGCCUGAGGCUGAGCAUUGUCAUGAGUCUCAUGACCGUUGACCAGUGGGAUCACCGUCGUCUCUCAGACCUGUUUCUCAAUGAGCCUUCAUUAAAACCGUUGCCCCGAGUUCUAGUUGUCUCCAGUCUCAUUCAUAUUGUAUCCAAUGUUUCGCGCAGAAUAUCUCCUGUCGUUUGCAUUGUUGUUGGUUGCAGAAGAAUUCAAAAACCAAAACUCAAUUAGGAAUUUAUGCUGUUAUUCAUGAAAUUAUCAUCGAUAGAUGCUCUUCGGUUUUCGAUUCUGAUUCAAGAUCCCUUGUGAGCCUAUAGCUGCAUUCCAAUAUCAAAAAGAAAAAAAAAACAAGAACUUUGAAUAACUGAGAGUCUGAUGAGCAAAAACAUUUUUUAAAACCAUUUCGAAACUACUCUACACACACAUUUUUAAAGAGGUUUAACUCAAAAACAAGAUUUGAGAAUUUUCUAGUUACUUUUUACUUUUUUAGUGUAUUCAUCAUAUCUGCAGCUUUUGGAAAGUAUCAGUUAACCCAGUUAUCAUAGCCGAGUGAGUAAUGGAAUGAUUGGAGCUGUUUUCGUGUUUGUGGGCCAAAAAAUUAAAUAAGCCCCCGGCGAGGAUCGAACUCACGACCUUUCGCUUACGAAGCGAACGCAAUACCACUAUGCUACGGAGGCAAUUUGUCCUGUGUCUGAAACGUCUCUUUCAAAAAAUGUAAAUAUGCAUACAGACCAAAGAAGCUUCGUUCAAACUUUCGACGGGAAGGAGACGAGAGAGAGAGAGACACCGCCGGAGAUAUGUGCGGCGUUCGUAUCGAGCUCUCGACACCUCUCUUAGAACCUCGUUUCGAACAAUUCUCUGUUGAAGAUUUGAAUCCUGAUAGUGUAGGCGAAAAGAAGAUUCUUCUUCAACCAACAAUCUGUGACUCUCUCUGUUCUUGAGGCAUUUUUCACGGAGACAAAGAAGUUGUCCCAGUAGCUGUUCUAUUCUCUGGUGGAUUAGAUUCAGUGAUUCUAGCUGCUCUAUUGGAUCAGUGCCUUUAUCUAAAAUAUGAAGUUGAUCUACUUAAUGUCAGUUUUGAUGGUGCAAAUGCUCCUGAAAGGUUGCACCGUUGAGAAGGUUUUAACUUUAAAAACCUUGAUGUAUAGGUCUAUUACUAUUCUAUCCACUUUCUCCUUCUGUGAAUGCAAACGUUCUUGCAGGUGGAAACUUGUCAAAACUAGCAUUCGGGACAAAGCGUGUCAUGUCACUCAUAAAUCCUGCGGACACUUACAUGAUAAACUUCAAAGUCUUAAGGAUUUUUUUUUUACAUUCUUCUAAACUUGAUGACAACUUUGCAAUAUGUUUUGCAAUGUUCUAGGGUCUUAACAUUGGAACAGCACUUUGGCUUGCUGGUCGCGGUGAUGGUUGGAUUCACGAAGAAAGUGAAUAUCAAGGAGUAGAAGAAAAUAGCCAACGCAUUAGAUAUAAGUCUGAGGCUAGAGUUCUGCUUAUUGGCGCUGGUGCUGAUGAACAAUGUGCUGGUUAUGGUAGGCACAGAACAAAAUAUAGAAACGGGAGUUGGGUUGCGUUGGACCAAGAAAUGAAAUUGGAUAUGCAGAGGAUUUGGAAAAGAAACUUAGGUCGAGAUGAUCGAUGCAUUGCAGAUAAUGGUAAAGAGUGUAGAGGCGCGAUUCCCAUUCUUGGAUGAAGACGUGAUAAAGACUCUCCUUGACAUUCCCUUGUAGGAAAUAGCUGAUCUUGAGCAACCAAGUGGAAAGGGAGACAAGAAGAUUCUUAGACAGGCUGCGAAGUUGCAAGAGAGCAAUACAGGUAAAGAAUAGGUUUCAAGAGAUUUUGGAUUCAAACCAGUAAAAAGUUGAAAGUUAAAAGUUGAAAGAAGUAACGGUGCCGCAAACCAGGCCUCUGCUGGGAGCGUGAGAUUCCACGCAGCAUGAGACUGAAAAGACUCAUUAUAUCUAUGAUCCCUAGCCUAGACAGACAACCUAUUGUUAGUUAGAUCACAUUUUUUGUGUUGUAUUGUAUACAUACAAACAGUGCCCUGCAAAAGUUUUAGGGGGCCUAAGGCAAAAACAAUAAAUGGUUUAUUCAAUCUUUUCUUGUGUAUGUUUACAAAAAAAAAAGUUAAAUGGUGGAUAUUGUUAAUGUGUUUAUUAUAAUUUAGAGUCUAAAAAGAGAACUUAAACUAAAACAUAGAAAAGUUAAACCCUAGCUGCUAUCCACGCUGCAUUCUGUCCAAGAAUAGACAGAAUCUAUCCAAAAAAACAUACACCCCAACUGCUUUUCCAAUCGCAAUCCCAGUUCCAAAAACGCUUAACGCCCAGAAUGCAAACUCUAUUCUCUUGAGACGCUCAGUUUUCAAUCAUGAACGUUAAGGUGAGGGUUCAUGAUAUGAUAUGUAGAUUUGUAUUAUAUAAUAUGGUUUUGUAAGCUUAUAUUUUUAAGUUUAUGAAAUAGUGAUUGACGUGUUUAGUAAAAUAAAUGAGUCGUGAUUAGUGAAAAUGUGGUGUUAUGAGGAAAUGAAAUUAUGCUAUGUACAUAGCAAUCCUUCUAAAGCCCAACCGCCUGACGCGACGAGCCGAUACUGGUGUAAGGUGACGGCCCCAAUAUCAUAUGGUUUUAGAUUGAGGACAAAGACAUAGCGAUUCCGUUAAAGCCCAUAAACCGGUUGACGAGCAUGAUUUUUGAAGUGACGACUAGCUCUCUUGUCAUGUGCAAUUUGCAAAGUGUGUUAAUUUGUGAAAGAUGAUUGUUAAUGUGAUAAGAAAUAUUUGAGAUAUUCUAAUUAUAAGAUUCCGUUGUGUAAAUGAUAGAUGGUAUGAUGCAUGACUACUUCUAUAUUUAUUAUAUUUGGUUGUUCAAUUAUAUUGUUGUAUGGUAUGAUUUGAUGCGUACUUCUAAUUUGGAUUUCUGGUUCUCUUAGAUGUUCCCUUAUGAUCUGGUUCACUUGGUUCUUCAUUUGUAGGUUCGCAUCAGAUAAAAAUAAAUUGAUGAUUUGCUCUCUCACGUGUUUAUUCUUGCAACAACAUUCAAUUUUGUUAGUUACCUACUAUAGAAUUUCUUUUUUGUAACUUACUAAUCUACUAUAGUUUGUUUGUUUGUUUCUGUUUUGUUUAGCGAAUAUUCUUUGAUGAAACCGGAAGUUUAUUUAAACUUAAUUUAGUGGCAUUAAUUAAAGGGGGAAAUUUACCUCUAUUUUGGUUCAAACUAUACACCCACUUUAGGUUAUUGAUGUUUCCUAAAACUCUUAAAGUUUAGCUAGCUAAAUAUUGCAAUUUGAAAGAUGCGUCAUGGCCUACUAAGACAAGUAAGUAGUAGAACCUACAGCUGGUGUACCUUUUUUUUUGUAACUUAAAACAGCUGGUGUAACUUGUUAUCUUUCUAAUAUCAAGAUUUUAUUUUUUUAAACUUAGUAAUAUCAA